UCCAGAAAUCAAAGCCUGAUGCAGAAGGA
rnacentral:piRNA from 1 species